GGCCCACGGCCGCCUCCGCCCCCGCCGGUCCCCGCCCCCGCCGCGCGGCGUCGGCGGCCGCGGACACCGGCCUGGGGCCGGUCCGUGCCCUGCCCGCUGCGGUCGGGACGGGCCUCUCCCUGCCGACGUCUCCUCCCCGCGCCCCGGUCGGGACUGCCCAGCCCACCGCACGCUCCCGGUGCCUCGGCCCGUUCCCCGGGCCGCUCCUCGCCGCCGCGGCCGAGGCAGGACCCGAGCCCCGAGCCCAGCCCGGCGGAGGCCGCGGCGUUGGCCCGGGCCAGGUCGCGGAGCUUGCGGGGCAGGCCCGGGGCCCGGCUGGCCCGGCAGCUGGUCGAGGACUCUAGACGGGCCCUUGCCGGGCAAUGAAGCUCCUCGCCCUUCGCAGCUCAUUUGACGUCCUUCCCCGAGCAGAACAGGCAGGGUAUUUUUUACUCAGGGGUUCGUUUUGCUUUAUUUCAGCGCAAAAUGCUUUUGCUGAGCAUGAAGGAAGGCAAAGGAAAGAGAGCAGUGAGAUGGGGAAUUCAGCCACAACCUUUAUUUCUGGAAGGACUUGGUUGCCAUGGGGCCACUUGAAAAGCCACACACACAAAUGUGCCUGUGCUGAGGCGGGAUCAGGUCCUUGGAAACCAUCCGGAGAAUAACAGGCAGGAACAUAGCUGGUGUGUGAGAGUGCACAGGGAACUUUCAUCACAUUCAGAUGCUGCUCUGUGUCUAUCUUUAAAAAUCAGUAAAUUUUCUGAUUAAAAAUAAAACUCCACACGUCAUGACUCCAGCAA